rnacentral:misc_RNA from 1 species
GGAAAGGGCGAAAUACAGUCAAGUACGGUUGCAAACAUCAUUUUCAUGAAUGUUUAUAGUUUUUUUGCUUGUCAUCAUGGAGCUGGGCUAUCAUCAUGAAUAUUCACCCGAACAUUUGUCAAUUUGCUGUCCCUCUUUCACCAUAUUAAGUAUUUAUUUCUUUCUACAUUAGGCAUCUGACUUUCAUUUUUGAUGUACAGGGAAUCAAGUUCUUUGAACCAGAGGUACAGAAA